AAUAGAUACCCGGGUAGUCCACGCCGUAAACGAUGAGUGCUAAGUGUUGGGGGGUUUCCGCCCCUCAGUGCUGCAGCUAACGCAUUAAGCACUCCGCCUGGGGAGUACGGUCGCAAGACUGAAACUCAAAGGAAUUGACGGGGGCCCGCACAAGCGGUGGAGCAUGUGGUUUAAUUCGAAGCAACGCGAAGAACCUUACCAGGUCUUGACAUCCCGGUGACCACUAUGGAGACAUAGUUUCCCCUUCGGGGGCAACGGUGACAGGUGGUGCAUGGUUGUCGUCAGCUCGUGUCGUGAGAUGUUGGGUUAAGUCCCGCAACGAGCGCAACCCUUAUUCUUAGUUGCCAUCAUUCAGUUGGGCACUCUAAGGAGACUGCCGGUGAUAAACCGGAGGAAGGUGGGGAUGACGUCAAAUCAUCAUGCCCCUUAUGACCUGGGCUACACACGUGCUACAAUGGACGGUACAAACGGUUGCCAACCCGCGAGGGGGAGCCAAUCCGAUAAAACCGUUCCAGUUCGGAUUGUAGGCUGCAACUCGCUACAUGAAGCCG
rnacentral:rRNA from 1 species